CUCCGUUUGGGACGUUCUUUAUACCGUUGGAAAGCUCUUUUUGAGCUCUAUGUGAUUAUCUUUAUUUGAAAUGCCAUGAAUUUAUUUUAUGAAUAUGAAAUCAGGGGUUAACCCUAUUUGUGAAAAUCCCGGAUUGUGUGACUAGGAUUACCGGCACCUGGUCAGGAGCACCCGGGGAUUCGGAAUCUCUGCCUUUGCGGGACAACAGGAAAGGGUAAGUCAGUGGCUGAUCAACCAUGAGUUUGAGGAGCAAGAUGAAGAAUGUACAUGUUCAAGCCAUAUCAGACCAAGCGGGUUAAGGGUCUAUCAGUGAUGAACUUUUGAAUUCUAUUUUGCCGUUUAGGUCGGCUAGAAAUAAAUGACUUGUAAUAGCGUUUGUAAAUAUUUUUGGGAUCCCAACUAUUUUAAAAGUUUUAAAUAUAUUACAAGUUUAUUUUCUUUCUGUUUAAUAUAAAAGUUUAAAUUCUGCGCUA